rnacentral:lncRNA from 1 species
CCUGCAGUCUAGAAGACACCUCUCCUGGGGGCUAUGGCGUCUCCCUCUCCCCACCAAGCCCCGGCAGGAAGCUCUUUACUUACUGGAAGCAGUUCCUUUCUUCAGCAGUGCUCCGAAGGUACUGUCUCAGGGAAUCCAAGAACUCGCCCAGCUGCUCAGGGCACACGGCCAUCUCCUGCCGGACCAGCUGCAGCUUCCCGGAGCCAGCUGCUGCCUGAUUCUGCUGAACACAGAAACCACUGCAGCUCUGCGGGUCACCAGUACCUGGCGCCCGAGCACACGCUUGAUAUACAAUCAUCAUCAUGUCAUAGCACAGAACCCAGGGCCGCAAAGUUCCCCAAGUGGGCUAAGCAUUAGGGUCUGGGUUUAAACCAUAUCUUUUCCCC